rnacentral:rRNA from 1 species
CCUACGGGAGGCAGCAGUGGGGAAUAUUGGACAAUGGGGGCAACCCUGAUCCAGCCAUGCCGCGUGUGUGAAGAAGGCCCUCGGGUUGUAAAGCACUUUCAGUGAGGAAGAACGCCUGGUGGUUAAUACCCAUCAGGAAAGACAUCACUCACAGAAGAAGCACCGGCUAACUCCGUGCCAGCAGCCGCGGUAAUACAGGAGGGUGCGAGCGUUAAUCGGAAUUACUGGGCGUAAAGCGCGCGUAGGUGGCUUGAUAAGCCGGUUGUGAAAGCCCCGGGCUCAACCUGGGAACGGCAUCCGGAACUGUCAAGCUAGAGUGCAGGAGAGGAAGGUAGAAUUCCCGGUGUAGCGGUGAAAUGCGUAGAGAUCGGGAGGAAUACCAGUGGCGAAGGCGGCCUUCUGGACUGACACUGACACUGAGGUGCGAAAGCGUGGGUAGCAAACAGGAUUAGAUACCCUAGUAGUC